AGGGUACUUAAGUUAUGUGAAAAAGAAGCGCUACCCCAGUAUUCUUGAGAAUAAAUUCUGCCAUAGAAAAAUAUAAAAACGAGAAGGGACGUGUGAGACGCAUCUUAGGCGUCACAACUUUUAUACCCGGACUCAGUCAGUGUACCUGUCCAUAUUGUUUAUUUUUAGAAUUUGAAAUUUGAAAUUUUACAUUUUUUCUACACCUGUCAUCUACAUCUAAUUAAUUUCUCACGACAACGGCAGAAGCAGAGACGCAGCAGAGGCAGAGGCCGCACACUGCAGAAGCAGAGUGAGAAUGAAAGAAUGUGAAACAACAAGAAAAGCGUCUGGACGGGGUGGGUUUAGCCACUGCAAAUUAAUUUCUUCAUACUGGCUAUAAUAAUGAUCCAAUCGCAUCCCAAUUUGGUGAUUUGAUAUGUAUGGUCAUUCCCUACGGAAAAGCUUUCUCUUUUAUUUCUCUUUUAUCUACAAAAUUGUAGCUUUGGGAGGUUUUCGCCCUUUUGCGGGAUCGGAAGGGGGCGGGACUAAUUUUUAAAAUACUCUGGUUUCAGCAUACAGCAGUCUGGAGGCAAAAUUUGGUGGCUCCAGCUCUUAUAGUCUCUGAAAACUAGCCGACAAACAAGACGGACAGACAGACAUGUCUCUAUCGAUUCGGCUAUUGAUGCUGAUCAAUAAUAUAUAUACUUUAUGGGGUCGGAAACGUUCCCUUCGGUGCGUUACAUCCACUUUGUGCACAAAUACAAUAUACAUUUUUUUCUAUUCGAGUACCGGGGAUAAUUAUCAUCAAACUAUUUCUAAGCCCCAUAUCUUCCAGAAAAAGUUAGUCUUGAUCGAUUCUAUGAUUCAAUGUAAUUUAAUGUACAAACCACGAACUGCCCAGUCGGACCGCCUAUAAGUGGUUGCGAAAAAGAAUUGAUCUUUUAUCCCACCCUUUUAGAAUAUGUAGAACCUAUAAAUAAACCCCAAAAUAAGCGUUCUUUCAUGCAUCUUUUUCCACCAAGUAACCAGAACAGCUUCCCGAUCUUUCGGUUUUUUUCCGAAGGACAACAUACCUCUUCUUUCAUGCUUUUGGAAAGCAGAAAUUCACGCAUCGAAAAAGUUUCAGGCGAACGCAUAGAAGAACAAAAAAGAAGAAAGGCAAUUUUCAAAAAUGCUGUUUCUCGUUCUCUUUUCUUCUCGCUAAUGAGAACGUGCAUACAGAUUUGAUCAUCUGAAAAGCAGUAAAUAACUAAAAAUUUAAAUUUUAAAUCAAUAUUUAAUUACGUAAGUAUUAGCAGAGUGUUAAUGCAGUUUGACUGCAUCUAAAGAAUAUGAAAGAAACAACGAUGUAGUGUGGUAAGUGCGCUGAAUUUUCCAGAAGAAAAAAAAACAACGCGAAAACGUCCCUCAUAGUGUACUCGUGCUAAGUGGAAAAGGGAGCGAUACAGAAGUACUGUUUCGAAGCAACUAAUUCCGACUGGGUGGGUCCUGCUCCUACCCGCUCGUAGUGCCACACCCCUCCGCUGACUCUCUUGAUCUCAUAGUAUGAAUUAGCUAUAUUGAAGAUAAGGCCAUGAACAGACUGAGAGGCUGUACCCCGGCUUCAGAGGGGAAAGCUUCGUUACACGGGGAUUACAUUAAAAUAAAGAUCACUUAAGAGCAACUGCUCGAGUGCGAUUUUUGGAAUAAAACGAGGAGGAGUCAGUAUACACAUAGAAAUGAAUGUACAUACAUACAUAUAUAUGUAACCUUACGAUUAUUUUCAAAUUUAACAUUUUUUUUAUCCAUCUGCCAUCUGCAACUACAUACAUACAUAUAUCACUUCUCACACCAACACGCCCUUUUAGCUCACACCCUUCUACCAGAGCCGAACAGUGCCUAUGGUAGAGUGUGUAAGCCAGAGAGAAUGAGCCAAAAAUAAACAAAGCUGCUGAAAGGGGGUGUGGGCUUGCCACUCGACGUGAUUUUCGUGAUUUUGGCUAUAACAACGAUCCUUAUUUGGGGAUCUGCAUUUUUAGUUUUCUUCGUCUGCGCAAGCUAAUUUCGGUUAAAUGUUAUAUCA
rnacentral:lncRNA from 1 species